CAGAAAAUAGUUUAUUAAAAUAUUAAUUUUGGAGAUUAAAGAUAGGUGUAAUCACUUUUUUCUGA
rnacentral:tRNA from 1 species